CCAGGAAGCCCAAUCCACCUCUGAUCUUACCAGCAGCACAACCUGGAGUGAGGCACUUCACCCCCCGAAAAGGACACAGCCAGGGUCCUGCAGGGAGGAGGUCAGAGGCAGAGACUUCUCCAACCCCUCUGAGCCACAGCUAACCACCUCCACGGAACCAUUUCUAUGUCUGCUGGAUGGAUGGAUGCACGCAUGCAGGUAUGUAUAGAUGGAUGGAUGAACAAAUGGUAAGCAGAUGACUGCUGGUUGCCUAGUUAAAUGUAGGG
ensembl:lncRNA